rnacentral:rRNA from 1 species
GACGAACGCUGGCGGCGUGCCUAAUACAUGCAAGUAGAACGCUGAAGCGAGGAGCUUGCUCUUCUUGGAUGAGUUGCGAACGGGUGAGUAACGCGUAGGUAACCUGCCUUGUAGCGGGGGAUAACUAUUGGAAACGAUAGCUAAUACCGCAUAACAAUGGAUGACCCAUGUCAUUUAUUUGAAAGGGGCAAAUGCUCCACUACAAGAUGGACCUGCGUUGUAUUAGCUAGUAGGUGAGGUAACGGCUCACCUAGGCGACGAUACAUAACCGACCUGAGAGGGUGGUCGGCCACACUGGGACUGAGACACGGCCCAGACUCCUACGGGAGGCAGCAGUAAGGGAUCUUCGGCAAUGGGGGCAACCCUGACCGGGCAACGCCGCGUGAGUGAAGAAGGUUUUCGGAUCGUAAAGCUCUGUUGUAAGUCAAGAACGAGUGUGAGAGUGGAAAGUUCACACUGUGACGGUAGCUUACCAGAAAGGGACGGCUAACUACGUG